ensembl:lncRNA
UAAAUAGUAUACAUAUUUAUUAAGACAUAUUAAAUAUAUUACGAUAUUGUUAUCGUAUAGAAACAUCAUGGAAUAUUGUACAUCAUGUUAGCAUCAACAGACAUUAUUGUUUCAUUUAAUUUCACAUCAUAAUUUCGUAUUUCAUUUCAUAUUUGUUACAUGUAAUCUUUUGGUUCAACCUUAAUCUGACGUACCCCCACUUUACACAGUAAUUAAUACAGUACUAAUACAGAGUAAUGGUUACAGGGUAAUGAAUACAGGGUAAUGAAUACAGAAUAAGUAUUACAGAGUAAUGAAUACAGGGUAAUGAAUACAGAAUAAGUAUUACAGAGUAAUGAAUACAGAGUAAUGAAUACAGUAACUAAUACAGGGUAAUGAAUACAGUAACUAAUACAGAGUAAUGAAUACAGGGUCAUGAAUACAGUAACUAAUACAGAGUAAUGAAUACAGGGUAAUGAAUGCAGGGUAAUGAAUACAGGGUAAUGAAUACAGGGUAAUGAAUACAGGGUAAUGAAUACAGAGUAAUGAAUACAGGGUAAUGAAUACAGGGUAAUGAAUACAGUAACUAAUACAGAGUAAUGAAUACAGUAACUAAUACAGAGUAAUGAAUACAGGGUAAUGAAUACAGGGUAAUGAAUACAGGGUAAUGAAUACAGUAACUAAUACAGAGUAAUGAAUACAGGGUAAUGAAUACAGGGUAAUGAAUACAGUCACUAAUACAGAGUAAUGAAUACAGGGUAAUGAAUACAGAGUAAUGAAUACAGAGUAAUGAAUACAGGGUAAUGAAUACAGAGUAAUGAAUACAGGGUAAUGAAUACAGGGUAAUGAAUACAGUAACUAAUACAGGGUAAUGAAUACAGUAACUAAUACAGAGUAAUGAAUACAGUAACUAAUACAGAGUAAUGAAUACAGGGUAAUGAAUACAGUAACUAAUACAGAGUAAUGAAUACAGGGUAAUGAAUACAGUAACUAAUACAGGGUAAUGAAUACAGGGUAAUGAAUACAGAGUAAUGAAUACAGAGUAAUGAAUACAAGGUAAUGAAUACAGAGUAAUGAAUACAGGGUAAUGAAUACAGGGUAAUGAAUACAGUAACUAAUACAGAGUAAUGAAUACAGGGUAAUGAAUACAGGGUAAUGAAUACAGUAACUAAUACAGAGUAAUGAAUACAGGGUAAUGAAUACAGGGUAAUGAAUACAGUCACUAAUACAGAGUAAUGAAUACAGGGUAAUGAAUACAGGGUCAUGAAUACAGAGUAAUGAAUACAGGGUAAUGAAUACAGAGUAAUGAAUACAGAGUAAUGAAUACAGGGUCAUGAAUACAGGGUCAUGAAUACAGGGUCAUGAAUACAGGGUAAUGAAUACAGGGUAAUGAAUACAGGGUAAUGAAUACCGGACCAAGCAGUGUGGUACAUAGGAGCAGCGGGUUCAAGACUCCUGGACUUGGGAGGAGAUCUUGAAUGGCAAGGGACCCUGGGUACAGCCGGGAGAAUAUCGCCGCCCCAAGGCAAAGCUGGAGGCAGCAAAAGCUGAGAGGCGGUGGUAUGAGGAGGCAGCACAGCAGCGCGGCUGGGACGAGAGGCAACCCCAAAAAUGUAUUGGGGGGGGCACACGGGGAGUGUGGCUGUCAGGUAGGAGACCUGAGCCAACUCCCCGUGCUUACCAUGGAGAGAGGGGGACCGGGCAGGCACUGUGUUAUGCCGUGAGGUGCACUGUGUCCCCGGUGCGCAGGCAUAGCCCGGUGCAGUACAUAGCAGCGCCUCGUAUCGGCCAGGCUAGAGUGGGCAUCGAGUCAGGUGCCAUGAAGACGGCUCAGCGCAUCUGCUCUCCAGUGCGUCUCCUCGGGCCGGGGUACAUGGCACCAGCCCUACACAUGGUGUCCCCUGUUCGCCAGCACAGCCCAGUGCGGUCGAUUCCACCUCACCGCACUGGCCUGGCUACGGGAAGCAUCUAGCCAGGUAGGGUUGUGCAGGCUUGGUGCUCGAGACCUCCAGUGCGACUCCACGGUCCGGUCUAUCCGGUGCCUCCUCCACGCACCAGGCCUCCGGUGGCAGCCCCCGCACCGGGCUGUCUCUCUGUCUCCUCCCUACAGGUGCUCCCGUCUGUCCUGAGCUGCCAGAGUCUCCCGUCUGUCCUGAGCUGCCAGAGCCGCCCGUCUGUCCUGAGCUGCCAGAGCCGCCCGUCUGUCCUGAGCUGCCAGAGCCGCCGGUCAGUCAGGAGCUGCCAGAGCCGCCCGUCAGUCAGGAGCUGCCAGAGCCGCCCGUCAGUCAGGAGCUGCCAGAGCCGCCCGUCAGUCAGGAGCUGCCAGAGCCGCCCGUCAUUCAGGAGCUGCCAGAGCCGCCUGUCAGUCAGGAGCUGCCAGAGCCGCCCGUCAGUCAGGAGCUGCCAGAGCCGCCCGUCACUAACAGUGGAACGGCAGGGAGAGAGAGAGAGAGAGAGAGAGAGAAACAACAGGUGGAGACUAACAGUGAAAUGGCAGAGAGAGAGAGAGAGAGAGAGAGAGAGAGAGAGAGA